GAAUCAAUCUGUUAGUUUCCAGGUUCUUGUUACUGGCUCAUUACAUCUUGUGGGUGACGUGCUGAGGUUAGUCAAGUAGUUAGACAUGAUGCCUAGUUGAAGCUGUCCAGUUGCAUGUUCUCCUGCUUGAGAUAUGUGCUGGGAUAGAUGGCAAGCAGUCAAAAGAUUCUGAUCAUUUUCCGUUUUGAGUUCUCUGUUAGUGCUUGCCAAUUGUGCUCCCACAGUAUGCUUUGUUGUUAAACCUGUUGACUGUUCAUGUUAAUAUACUAGGAGUGUUUGAGAGAUGUAUAAUGUUGCAUUUUGAAUAUGAAUUGGCAGAAAUUUCAAUUUUUUACUUUUAUAACAAGGGAACAUCAACAAAAAAAAAUGAUCAGAAUCUUUUGACUGCUUGC
rnacentral:misc_RNA from 1 species